AGCGCUCCGAGUUUGCUUCUGCAUGGAAGGGGAAGAUGGACUAGAGCUGAUACCUCCUGCACCCUGGUGAAGAAAUGCACCCUGAGGCCAGAAAAUAGUACAAACCCAUCUGGCUGCAACAGUCCAGCAGCAUGAAGAUCAAAGUCACGUAGUAGAGCCAGAGAGAAAUUUGCCCUGGGCCUAAUAUUCAUGAAGCCUUUCCAAUUCAGACUCGGUAUUAUUGCCAAGUCGGUGUGUUUGGGAGAAAUCAGAAGCCAACACACUAGAAAAGUUGCAAGAGAUUCCUAGGGGAACCCACAAAUUCAGUUCCUUGCCAGAAACCUGCUCCUCCAGAUGAAUCUAGUGCAUCAGAUGGGCUCAGAAGCACAGGUGGCGCAGGCAGACCUCUACUGAGAAGAACAACAGUGGAAGGCAGAUGAAACUCACAUUUUGGAGUCUGAGAGCCAUGCGGGCCCACCCCAGUUACGUCUACCCCUGGUCGGUGACCAGAGAAUCCUUUAGCAGCAACAGCAGUGAUGUUUAUUUCACUGGUAUGUAUAAAGCGACUGAUUGAAAACAAGCUGUAUGCCCAACAACUUGGAACUGGUUAAAUGAUUUUUGGUUCAGCCGCACAGUGGAAUAUCAUGCGGCCAUUAAGAAUAAAUAAAAAAUCCUAUACUUUCCAUGUUCAACUUUAGACUGCAAACAACUGAAAAAACACCUUCAUAAUUAGGCUUCCUCAGAUUAGAACGUGAAGUCAAAUCAACGUGUGUCAGAAAGUUAACAACAGCUAACUGUUUGUUGUGGUGUUCUGAGUAACUUGUAUUAUUUUUCAGUUUUUUUCCCAUUCCUAAUGUGCAAAUGUACUAUUUUUAUUGU
rnacentral:lncRNA from 10 species